GAUGAAGAACGCAGCGAAAUGCGAUAAGUAAUGUGAAUUGCAGAAUUCAGUGAAUCAUCGAAUCUUUGAACGCACAUUGCGCCCCUUGGUAUUCCGGGGGGCAUGCCUGUUCGAGCGUCAUUAUAACCCCUCAAGCUCAGCUUGGUGUUGGGGCCUGCCAACUGGCAGCCCUUAAAAUCAGUGGCGGCGCCAUCUGGCUCUAAGCGUAGUAAUUUCUCUCGCUAUAGGGUCCCGGUGGAUGCUGGCCAACAACCCCCAAUUUUCUAUGGUUGACCUCGGAUCAGGUAGGGAUACCCGCUGAACUUAAGCAUAUAAUAAGCGGAGGA
rnacentral:misc_RNA from 1 species